rnacentral:rRNA from 1 species
CACGUAGGGUGCGAGCGUUGUCCGGAAUUAUUGGGCGUAAAGAGCUCGUAGGCGGUGUGUCGCGUCGGCCGUGAAAACCUGCAGCUCAACUGUGGGCUUGCGGUCGAUACGGGCAUCACUGGAGUUCGGCAGGGGAGACUGGAAUUCCUGGUGUAGCGGUGAAAUGCGUAGAGAUGUGGAGGAACACCGAUGGCGAAGGCGGGUCUCUGGGCAUUUCCUGACGCUGAGGCGCGAAAGCGUGGGGAGCAAACGGG